rnacentral:misc_RNA from 1 species
UACGGAGGGAGCUAGCGUUGUUCGGAAUUACUGGGCGUAAAGCGCGGGCAGGUGGCCUGUUAAGUCGUUUGUGAAAAUCCGGGGCUCAACCCCGUGAAAUGCGUACGAUACUGGCAGACUGGAGAUCGGUAGGGGCUAGCGGAAUUCCUGGUGUAGCGGUGGAAUGCGUAGAUAUCAGGAAGAGCACCUGUGGCGAAGGCGGCUAGCUGGGCCGAGUCUGACACUCAUCCGCGAAAGCGUGGGGAGCAAACAGG